rnacentral:lncRNA from 1 species
UCGCUUGCUUCCCGGAGCCCCUUGAAAUCCUACAGUUCUAGUCCAGUUAGAGGAAACCAGGUGUCCCCCUUCAAACCAUUCUUAGGUCCACUAGAAUGGAAGGACAAUGAAGGAGGCUCAGAUGGCAGCAGAGCUGGUAACAGAAAUGCUCUUAAAUGCUCGAGCUGCUUGUAAGCUGGUCCUGAGUUAUUGCCCUCCAUAAAGUGACCUACUGACCACCAUCACCUUCUGCUAUAAGAAUGGGAUAGGUACAGCUUCUCACUAUCCAUGCAAGCUAGUUAAUUUGGGAGAGCAAUGGAGAGGUCUGCUAAGAUGGUGCUGGUUCUUGCUCUUGCCCUUGCCACCUCUGCUGUGUGCCUUGUGGAGGGAAGAAACAUUCAGAGCAAGCCUAAACCUUACAAGCCUCAGAAUUUCUUUGGCUUUGGAGGCAUCAUUGGUCCUCCUGGACUUGGUGGUGGCUCAGGUCUGGUUCCUGGAGGCUUCGGGUUCGGCGGGCCAGGCUUCGGGUCCGUCCCCAUCAUCGGUGUUCCUGUGACUCCUGGUGCGGGUCUCCGAGCUCAACAUCAUGGUGGGAAGCCAUAAUAGGAUGGCUGGUAUUGGACGACCUUAUCCAUAUAUUCACUACGUAGAGGGGGAUGUCGAACCUUUUACUGAUGUAGAACCUCUUGCUUUGUUUAAGCGUGGUUUCUAGUUAUUUGCAGCAUCAGAGCAACUGUUGUUUUCAGACUUUGAGUGUGGUUGUCAGUCCCAUUCACUGGUUUGUAACUUAUUUAGUGUUGUAACAUGUAAGCACAUCAGUGCGAUUUAGUCCUUAUGUAAUGUAUAGCUUCAUGGUCUCUCUCUCUCUCUCAUACACACAAAAAAUGAACACAUGCACUACAAAAUCUUCUCUCUCUCUCUCUCUCACGCGCACACGCGCACGCACAAAGUAAACACAUGCACUAGAUAAUCUUUUCCUUUCAUCUAUUCCUCCUAAUGCAUGAGUUUUAAGUCUCUCAAAUUACUAGGACCUUAUCUGGUUAUUUUUUUCCUUAAAUACAUUCUUAUAUUAUCUCAAUGGUUCCCCAUCACUUUGUGUAAAAGUGGUUCCAAGUACUACACGGCAUAUAAAGUGAAAAAAACAACAUGGUCUGUGUUUUAACCAAACAACAUGAACCUUCUGAUGUUAUAAGUUUAAGCUUAAAAGUAACUGAGGUCCACUAUCAUAAUAGAAAAAUAACACUAU